AUUCUCUGUUUUUUAACCCUGUUAUGUUUUAUCUUUAUUUCAUUUCUCCGUCAACUCAUGUACCAUGACUUGAGUUGACCAACAAUUAAAGAAGACAUGCUCCACCUGUAAACCUCCACCUUCAACACCACCAGUAAGGUGGAGGUAGAGAAGAGAACCCUGUUGACGAAAAAAAUUGACCAACAAUUAAAGAAGACGACCUGCUCCAACUGCUGAUCUACUGGUUGUAACAGAUUGUGGAAAAGCAUCACCAGCAGCACUGGACCAAUCAGGAGAGAGAAGACACAGAGGACUGAAGGGACUCAGAAAAUCCUGCUGGAAAUCCCAAGAUGAAGUUUCCUGAUGCAACAGGGGGACACCUGAGGACACAGAAUAAAGAAGGACCAU